AAGGCUGAGAAAUACUCACCCUGCAAAACAAGAGAAAGGUUCCUGCUUCUCCCCUGCAUUUGCUACAACUGCAGAUGGUUCUGCUUGAGGUCUGAACCCACCUGGCACCACAAAUUCUGAUUAACGUCAAAGGCAGAGGCUUAAGGGAAGCGUUGUUGAGAAAGCCCAACGAGGCUCACUGUGGACGCCCACACUGGCCACAAGCUUCUGUUCGAAGAAGUCAUCGGGCUUCCUCCUGACCAUGACGCUAGUCCGGAUUCCCGAUGUCAAGCAUGGCCCCGGGACCGUGAGCCUGGAGUCUGCGCUUGGUUCUGGAACAGGACUGUGCCAGUCCACGGUGACGUGUCCACUGGGGUGCCACGCCAUGUCAGUGUCAGAUUGGCAGCUGUCCUUUCUUGAGAAAUCCUCCCUACUUCUGGGUAUUAAAAUCUCCUUUCUGUCAUGA